AUCAAUUCAUAUUACAAAUAUAUUCAUGGCUUUGAAUUAACCUCUAGCCAAAAUAAAUUUAGCUACACAUUAUUCUAAAAUUAAACCAAAAAUUAAUCAUAAGUUGGAAAGAUUUAACCGAGAGAAUAAGAUCUGCUGCGUUUCUGUGCUUCUGCCCUCACUCCCUGCGUCACUUCUCUCCUGCCAUGCCGCACUGUCCUUUCACUGCUCCAAACUGCCAAAGGCAGCAACCCGUGGUCCUGCACGUACUGACUUCUCUUCCCCCCAGCUGCCAAAUGGCAGCCCUCUCCCCGUGCUCUCUUUGGCUCUCCCCCGCAGCUUCUUGCUGCUCUCUUUGACCUCGCUGCCAAAGGCAGCUGUCUGCCUCUCCCCGUGCUCUCUUUAUUUUAUUCUUCUUUCUUCUCUUCCUUUGCAAACAUCAUAAUAAUGAGAGGGACAAACAUUGUUUAUAAAAUGUAAAUUAGUAUUAUCAUGUGACAAUAAAGGGUAAAUUUGCAUAACAGAUCCUAUAAACACAAAUAACGUAAAUAGCUCAAAAAUAUAAGGAACUAACCAAGAAAAGACGAGUGAAUUUGAAGUAAAAAAAUAUAUAAAUAUGAUCCGAUCAAAUACCCCCAUACUUAGCUUUUGCUAGUCCUCGAGCAAAACAAAGAAAACAUGAAAAAGUACUAACAUGAAAAACAUUAGUUUCCCCCUAUGUGACCUUCAUAGAAUUUCAUUUGAGAACACAAAUCAUCAAGAACCAUAGCUAGCACCAAACAAGUUAAUCCAAGUUCAUCUUCCUUAUUCAAAUAUUAGCAGUAAUCUUUGAAUCAUCCUUGAAGGGUAGUGUGUGAGAUAGCCAUGCUAAUGCAAUUUCAAGUUUUUAUUUUUAAAAUCAUCAUAUGCAAACUAGUAACCUUCUCACGGGAUAUACACUCAAUCACAUAUGUGUUUAGUUUUAGUGUGUUUCGCUCAAAGAAACAAAUGUAAAAUUUCUACCAUAAGCUUGCAUAAAGAUCACUUCUCCACAGUCAUAAUUGCAAAACUUAAAUCAAGAGGACUUUUAUUGGAUGUAAUGAGGCUUAGGGAUAGGGUUAUUGAAACGAAAGAAUAGGAAAACACAAGUUCCAAGCUACAUUGCAAGCAAUUCUUUUGUCUAGAUUUAUAAGAACUCAAGCUCUCCAACGAUGCGAUCAAUUAUAUUUACAAUCACGGUUGGUUGUUGGCAAAGAUGCGUGAAUUUUGCAGAG
rnacentral:lncRNA from 1 species